rnacentral:rRNA from 1 species
UAUGAAAGGCCACAUGAGAGCCAAACUGUCUCUUGUAAUCCAUCAAUUAAACUGAUCUCCUAGUACAAAAGCUAGGAUAACAAUAUAAGACCAGAAGACCCUGUGAAGCUUUAACUAACCUAUUAAACCCACUAAUAGCUACUUUCGGUUGGGGCGACCUUGGAACAAAACAAAACUUCCAAAUACUAUGAAUAUUACCUCAUACACCUCAGGCCAACAAGCCACAAUAUGACCCAGUACAACUGAUAAUUGAACCAAGUUACUCCAGGGAUAACAGCGCCAUCUUCUUCAAGAGCCCAUAUCAAAAAGAAGGUUUACGACCUCGAUGUUGGAUCAGGACACCCAAAUGGUGCAGCCGCUAUUAAAGGUUCGUUUGUUCAACGAUUAACAGUCCU